rnacentral:rRNA from 1 species
CCUACGGGUGGCAGCAGUGGGGGAUAUUGCACAAUGGGGGAAACCCUGAUGCAGCGACGCCGCGUGUAGGAAGACGGUCCUCUGGAUUGUAAACUACUGUCCCCCAGGGACGAAGAUGACGGUACCUGGGGAGGAAGCUCCGGCUAACUACGUGCCAGCAGCCGCGGUAAUACGUAGGGAGCGAGCGUUGUCCGGAAUUACUGGGUGUAAAGGGAGCGGAGGCGGGGAUGCAGGUUGGGUGUUAAAUCUACCGGCUAAACUGGUCGUCGCACUCAAAACUGCAGCUCUUGAGUGAAGUAGAGGCAGGCGGAAUUCCUGGUGUAGCGGUGAAAUGCGUUGAUAUUAGGAGGAACACCAGUGGCGAAGGCGGCCUGCUGGGCUUUUACUGACGCUGAGGCUCGAAAGUGUGGGGAGCAAACAGGAUUAGAUACCCCAGUAGUC